GAGGAGGAAGAAGACGCAAGGUUGUUGUUUUGGGGUGACCAAUUUGGAGAAGGUACUUCCUUAGCUUAGCUUAAGUUUUCCCCCUUCUAUCUAUACUGGGCAUUUGCGCUUUCCAGACAAUUUAUUGACUCUGUAUAUGCUACCUUCAUUAGAAUUUAGAAGUACCUUGAAGUGGGUUUUAGCAAUAACAAACACAUGAUCGCGAUUUGGGUGCUAAAAAUGAUCUCUUCGAUUGAAUUCUUUUGGGAAAGAUUUUGUUUCACAGGAUUUGAGCUCACCUGAGAUCUUCUGGUUUGAAGAAAGUGAAAAAGCAGAUAACCUGUUUAAACUGUAUUUUACAACAAGAAGAUGUGUUGCUAACUUCUGGUUCAAGAAAGUGAAAAGGCACAAAACUACUUCUAACUGUAUAUUGCAACCAGAAAAUGUGUUGUUAAUCUGGAAAUGCACUAAUUUUUAAUUUUGCACAUUAUUAUAAGCAAUUCAUAGGUUUAAAACGCCUUUUGCUAGAAGGGCGGAGCAAUUCCCACACGUUGCUCCACAUAUUGGAAAAGUUUCCACAAUAUUGCCUGUUCAUCAAGAUUGAUGAAUGAUUACAUUCUGUUUUGGGGGUGAUGAAUAACAAUAUUUGUUUGUGUGUCAACGGUCCAGCAGUUUUCCAUAAAAUUUCCUAUUAGCAAGGUGGAGGACUUCUUGUUGUAUACCAUGUUGGGGCUUCAGCUAAGCUUAAAUGUUCCAAUUUUGACACUGAAAUUUCUUGAUGGGUGCCUAGGGCAUUGCUUUAACAACCUUUUAAGGGUUCAAAGCAAGCUGCAUUUUCUUGGCUAUAAGUUUUGAUUAGAAAAUUGUGCAACACUAGUAGUAGUGGCCUGGUGGGUAACUGCUGUGGACUAUUGUUUGACAAUUGGUAGGGGGAAUGUACAGCUGCAGUGGCUUAUUGGCUGUAGCUAACGUCACAGACUAUUGUUUAUGAAAACACUUUUUUAAAUGCAAGAACCAAUAAAUGGCAUAAGUUAAAAUUGCGAUAUUAGAAAUAAGUGUUGCUAUUGAAUGCAAUUUUGUCAAAAAUGGGCAAAAAAGAAUAAAGGACACUGCGUGCGUUCUUUGUUUGAAUUUUGAAACUGUGUUUUUGGAGUGGAAUAAAUGCUCUGUUACAAGCUUCAUUCCAAUAUUGAAUCUCAACACCCUUUCUUGUUAUCUUAUAUAGUAUGUGAAUGUCAUUGUUGAAAGACUCCAAAUGUCAUGAAAUUUAAUAGAAGCUUUUCCUGAAGUUUUCUGCCGUUCAUUUGGUUGUCAGUCUACAUUGUUAAUGCAUGUAGGAUGUAACUGUUGGAAGUCUGCUAUUCUCUUCUUCUUUAUUCGUUUCUUUCCAAUGUA
rnacentral:misc_RNA from 1 species